rnacentral:rRNA from 1 species
UGUACCAAACGGUCUAGAGAUUGCAAGUAAUAAAGCGGCAGUUUAAAAACUUUUUAAAGAUGGAGUAUAGGAGCAUUAGAAACAUUAUUAUCAGUUUUGUCUGACAAGAUGGAAGUACUGUUUUUAAGCGUUAGAAAAAAGUACCUUUAGUAUAAUGGCCUUUCAAGAGAUUUUGCUGUAUAAAGCAUCUCCCGAAGUAAAAAGAUUUUUAGGAAAGCAAUAUAGAAGAGGUAUUCGAUGUAUGAAUUCUCGAAUAAACUUUGCUAAGGAUGUGAUAUGCAACUUCGAGUUUUAGGAUAGCUGGUUGUUCGAAAAAUGCUUUUAAGUGCAGCUUUGACGCGUGGUGUGGUGUGUAUUAAAGGGUACUCACUAAAUCAGUAAGUCAGGAGUGAAAAGUCUAGCUAAAGGUUAGACUUAAAGGUGCUUUCUAAGUUACUAAAUUUUUAGAAAGAGAAAUUGGGUUUAUGCUGCCCAUUUUGUUAUGAGUAUUUAACAACUUGUCUUUCUAAUAGUAAAAGAAUAAUUUUUGAAAAACGAGGCUAGACGAAUCGUUCACCUUUCUAAGAUAUCCUUUGAUUGAUUAUUAUGCUGGGAUUAGUAAUAACAUGA